rnacentral:rRNA from 1 species
AUAACGACUCUCGGCAACGGAUAUCUCGGCUCUCGCAUCGAUGAAGAACGUAGCGAAAUGCGAUACUUGGUGUGAAUUGCAGAAUCCCGUGAACCAUCGAGUCUUUGAACGCAAGUUGCGCCCGAAGCCUUCUGGCCGAGGGCACGUCUGUCUGGGCGUCACGC